AGUCAAGUAAUUAAGUGCAUGUGGUGGAUGCCUUGGCAGUCAGAGGCGAUGAAAGACGUGAUAGCCUGCGAAAAGCUCCGGGGAGGCGGCAAAUAUCCUUUGAUCCGGAGAUGUCUGAAUGGGGGAACCCACCUACUUUAAGGUAGGUAUUGCAACAUGAAUACAUAGUGUUGCAAGGCGAACGAGGGGAAGUGAAACAUCUCAGUACCCUUAGGAAAAGAAAUCAAUUGAGAUUCCCUCAGUAGCGGCGAGCGAACGGGGAUCAGCCCAUUAAGUUAUGUGUGUUUUAGUGGAACGCUCUGGGAAGUGCGAACGUAGAGGGUGAUAUUCCCGUACACGAAAGGGCACACAUAAUGAUGACGAGUAGGGCGAGGCACGUGAAACCUUGUCUGAAUAUGGGGGGACCAUCCUCCAAGGCUAAAUACUCCUGACUGACCGAUAGUGAACCAGUACCGUGAGGGAAAGGCGAAAAGAACCCCUGUGAGGGGAGUGAAAUAGAUCCUGAAACCGCAUGCAUACAAGCAGUGGGAGCACCUUCGUGGUGUGACUGCGUACCUUUUGUAUAAUGGGUCAGCGACUUAUAUUCAGUAGCAAGGUUAACCGUAUAGGGGAGCCGUAGAGAAAUCGAGUCUUAAUAGGGCGUUUAGUUGCUGGGUAUAGACCCGAAACCAGGCGAUCUAUCCAUGAGCAGGUUGAAGGUUGGGUAACACUAACUGGAGGACCGAACCCACUGUCGUUGAAAAGCCAGGGGAUGACUUGUGGAUAGGGGUGAAAGGCUAAUCAAGCCUGGUGAUAGCUGGUUCUCCCCGAAAGCUAUUUAGGUAGCGCCUCGGACGAAUACCAUAGGGGGUAGAGCACUGUUUCGGCUAGGGGGUCAUCCCGACUUACCAAACCGAUGCAAACUCCGAAUACCUAUGAGUACUAUCCGGGAGACAGACUGCGGGUGCUAACGUCCGUAGUCAAGAGGAAAACAAUCCAGACCGCCAGCUAAGGCCCCAAAAUCAUAGUUAAGUGGGAAACGAUGUGGGAAGGCAUAGACAGCUAGGAGGUUGGCUUAGAAGCAGCCACCCUUUAAAGAAAGCGUAAUAGCUCACUAGUCGAGUCGGCCUGCGCGGAAGAUGUAACGGGGCUAAAACUAUGUGCCGAAGCUGCGGAUGUAUACUUUGUAUACGUGGUAGGGGAGCGUUCUGUAAGCCGAUGAAGGUGUGUUGAGAAGCAUGCUGGAGGUAUCAGAAGUGCGAAUGCUGACGUGAGUAACGACAAAACGGGUGAAAAACCCGUUCGCCGAAAGACCAAGGGUUCCAGUCCAACGUUAAUCGGGGCUGGGUGAGUCGACCCCUAAGGCGAGGCCGAAAGGCGUAGUCGAUGGGAAAAUGGUUAAUAUUCCAUUACUUCUGUGUAAUGCGAUGAGAGGACGGAGAAGGCUAAAUCAGCCUGGCGUUGGUUGUCCAGGUGAAAGGAUGUAGGCAUGUAUCUUAGGCAAAUCCGGGGUACUCUAUGCUGAGAUCUGAUAGCAAGCUGUACUUGUACAGCGAAGUGGUUGAUGCCAUGCUUCCAGGAAAAGUCUCUAAGCUUCAGUUACACAGGAAUCGUACCCGAAACCGACACAGGUGGUCAGGUCGAGUAGACCAAGGCGCUUGAGAGAACUCUGCUGAAGGAACUAGGCAAAAUGGUACCGUAACUUCGGGAGAAGGUACGCUGUUGUUGGUGAUGGAACUCGCUUCCUGAGCUGACGACAGCCGCAGAAACCAGGCCGCUGCAACUGUUUAUUAAAAACAUAGCACUCUGCAAACACGAAAGUGGACGUAUAGGGUGUGAUGCCUGCCCGGUGCUGGAAGGUUAAUUGAUGGGGUUAGCGUAAGCGAAGCUCUUGAUCGAAGCCCCAGUAAACGGCGGCCGUAACUAUAACGGUCCUAAGGUAGCGAAAUUCCUUGUCGGGUAAGUUCCGACCUGCACGAAUGGCAUAAUGAUGGCGGCGCUGUCUCCAGCAGAGGCUCAGUGAAAUCGAAAUCGCUGUGAAGAUGC
rnacentral:rRNA from 1 species